GAUGAACGCUAGCGGCAGGCCUAAUACAUGCAAGUCGAACGGUGUCUUCGGACAUAGUGGCGCACGGGUGCGUAACACGUAUGCAACCCACCUUACAUUGGGGGAUAGCCUUUCGAAAGGGAGAUUAAUACCGCAUAAGACAGUAGCUGGGCAUCCAGCAGCUGUUAAAGAUUUAUCGAUGUAAGCUGGGCAUGCGGCCAAUUAGCUAGCUGGUGAGGUAACGGCUCACCAAGACAAGGAUGGGUAGGGGAACUGAGCGGUCAAUCACCCACACAGGCACGGAGAUACGGGCAAGACGUCUACGGGAGGCAGGAGUAGGGAAUAUUGGGCGAUGGACGAAAGUCUGACCCAGCCAUGCCGCGUGCAGGAUGAAGGCGUUAUGCGUUGUAAACUGCUUGUAUACAGGAAGAAACGACUCUUGCGAGAGGCAUUGACGGUACUGUAUGAAUAAGCACCGGCUACCUCCGUGCCAGCCGCCGCCGUAACAC
rnacentral:rRNA from 1 species